CAAUGAGAAAUUAUUGCUAAUUCCGCAUGUGGUUAAUUUGAGGCAUCUUAGAUUAGCGGGGGGAUUUAUCGGUUAGAGCUGGGCAUGCGUCCCAUUAGCUAGUUGGUGAGGUAACGGCUCACCAAGGCCUCGAUGGGUAGGGGCUCUGAGAGGAUUGUCCCCCACACUGGUACUGAGACACGGACCAGACUCCUACGGGAGGCAGCAGUAAGGAAUAUUGGGCAAUGGACGCAAGUCUGACCCAGCCAUGCCUCGUGAAGGAAGAUGGCCCUAUGGGUUUGUUGGGGGCUGUUCUCAAGGGGUAAACUCCGGAGCGUGUUCCGGACUGAAAGUACCUGAGGAAUAAGCAUCGGCUAACUCCGUGCCAGCAGCCGCGGUAAUACGGAGGAUGCGAGCGUUAUCCGGAUUCAUUGGGUUUAAAGGGUGCGCAGGCGGAUAUAUAAGUCGGAGGUGAAAUUCUGAUGCUCAACAUCAGCCGUGCCUUCGAUACUGUAUAUCUAGAGUCAAGUUGGAGUAGGCGGAAUGUGUUGUGUAGCGGUGAAAUGCUUAGAUAUAACACAGAACACCGAUCGCGA
rnacentral:rRNA from 1 species